AUUGAACGCUGGCGGCAUGCCUUACACAUGCAAGUCGAACGGCAGCGGGGACUUCGGUCCGCCGGCGAGUGGCGAACGGGUGAGUAAUGUAUCGGAACGUACCAUUCAGUGGGGGAUAACUAUCCGAAAGGAUAGCUAAUACCGCAUAUUCUGUGAGCAGGAAAGCAGGGGAUCGCAAGACCUUGCGCUGAUUGAGCGGCCGAUAUCAGAUUAGCUAGUUGGUGAGGUAAAGGCUCACCAAGGCGACGAGCUGUAGCGGGCCUGAGAGGAUGAUCCGCCACACUGGAACUGAGACACGGUCCAGACUCCUACGGGAGGCAGCAGUGGGGAAUUUUGCACAAUGGGCGAAAGCCUGAUGCAGCGACGCCGCGUGGAGGAUGACGGUCUUCGGAUUGUAAACUCCUGUUAAGUGGGAAGAAAAGUGUACUCCUAAUACGAGUACGCCAUGACGGUACCAUUAGAGAAAGCACCGGCUAACUUCGUGCCAGCAGCCGCAGUAACAC
rnacentral:rRNA from 1 species